rnacentral:piRNA from 1 species
GCCGUGACUUUGGAUGCUUCACUCUUGUC